rnacentral:rRNA from 1 species
UACGUAGGGUGCGAGCGUUAAUCGGAAUUACUGGGCGUAAAGUGUGCGCAGGCGGCGUCGCAAGUCGAGUGUGAAAUCCCUCGGCUUAACCGGGGAACUGCGUCUGAUACUGGAUGGCUUGAGUUUGGGAGAGGGAUGCGGAAUUCCAGGUGUAGCGGUGAAAUGCGUAGAUAUCUGGAGGAACACCGGUGGCGAAGGCGGCAUCCUGGACCAAUACUGACGCUGAGGAGCGAAAGCCAGGGGAGCAAACGGG